GCCUAGAGAGGGGUUUAUGUCCUAUCAGCUUGUUGGUAGGGUAAUGGCCUACCAAGGCAAAGACGGGUAGCCGGUUUAAGAGGAUGGUCGGCCACACUGGGACUGAGACACUGCCCAGACUUCUACGGAAGGCUGCAGUCGAGAAUCUUUCGCAAUGCCCGAAAGGGUGACGAAGCGACGCCGCGUGGGUGAGGAAGGCCUUCGGGUUGUAAAGCCCUGUCAGGAGUUAUGAAAUGUAAGUGCGAUAAUACUGCGCUUAUUUGACAAAGGCUCCAAAGGAAGCCACGGCUAACUCUGUGCCAGCAGCCGCGGUAAUACAGAGGUGGCAAGCGUUGUUCGGAAUUAUUGGGCGUAAAGAGCACGUAGGUGGAUUUGUAAGUCAGAUGUGAAAGCCUUCUGUUCAACGGAAGAAUUGCAUCUGAAACUGUAAACCUUGAGUGUAGGAGGG
rnacentral:rRNA from 1 species